rfam:Heligmosomoides polygyrus genome assembly, scaffold: HPBE_scaffold0004103
GCGCCGGUGGUGUAAAGGCGUAGAGCAUUCCCGCCGGGUCAGAGGGAGGUGCGGGUUCGAAUCCCGCCUGGCGCU